UACGUAGGCAGCGAGCGUUGUUCGGAGUUACUGGGCGUAAAGGUGUGUAGGCGGUUGUUUAAGUUUGGUGUGAAAUCUCCCGGCUCAACUGGGAGGGUGCGCCGAAUACUGAAUGACUUGGAGUGCGGGAGAGGUGAGUGGAAUUCCUGGUGUAGCGGUGAAAUGCGUAGAUAUCAGGAGGAACACCGGUGGUGUAGACGGCUCACUGGACCGUAACUGACGCUGAGACACGAAAGCGUGGGUAGCAAACAGG
rnacentral:rRNA from 1 species